rnacentral:rRNA from 1 species
AACGAACGCUGGCGGCAUGCUUAACACAUGCAAGUUGAACGCAGAAUAGGGCUUCGGCUCUAUUGCUGAGUAGCAAACGGGUGAGUAACGCGUGGGAAUCUACCUUCUUGUGGGGGAUAACUAAGGGAAACUUUAGCUAAUACCGCAUACGCUCUACGGAGGAAAGGCUUCGGCCGCAAGAAGAGGAGCCCGCGUCAGAUUAGGUAGUUGGUGGGGUAAAAGCCUACCAAGCCAAUGAUCUGUAGCUGGUCUGAGAGGAUGAUCAGCCACACUGGGACUGAGACACGGCCCAGACUCCUACGGGAGGCAGCAGUGGGGAAUAUUGGACAAUGGGGGAACCCUGAUCCAGCAAUGCCGCGUGAAUGAAGAAGGCCUUAGGGUUGUAAGUUCUUUCACCUGUGAAGAUAAUGACGGUAGCAGGAGAAGAAGCCCCGGCUAACUCCGUGCCAGCCGCCGCCGUAA